rnacentral:rRNA from 1 species
GGACUACUGGGGUUUCUAAUCCUGUUUGCUCCCCUUGCUCUCGCGCCUCAGCGUCAGGUAAUAGCUAGAAAACCGCUUUCGCCACAGGUGUUCUUCCACAUAUCUACGCAUUUCACCGCUACACGUGGAAUUCCAUUUUCUCCGCCAUCCCUCACAGACUCACAGUUUCUAAUGCAGCUCCGAAGUUGAGCUUCGGAAUUUCACAUCAGACUUACAAAUCCGCCUACGCGCCCUUUACGCCCAAUAAAUCCGAUUAAUGCUUGCACCCUCCGUAUUACCGCGGCUGCUGGCAC